rnacentral:lncRNA from 1 species
UAUCUACUACGUACCCAAACAAAAGUUAAAAAUUAAAAACAAAGCAAGGGGUGGGGGUGCUGGCCAGAGAGAGAAAACCAAGGUAGAGGGGGAGAUUCUCAGCCUGAGGAAGGACCUGCCAAAAGGAGUAAUGCUGGAGGGGGAGCAGUGGCACCCCAAGAGCAGGCAAAACAGAUUUUAGAUAUGCGGUGUGGGGAGUGAGAGCCCACUGGGGUCAAGGAACCAAAAGAAAAGAAGGAAGGUCAAGGAACAGCUGGCCCAACAGCCUGUUUUAGGUCUGGGUUGGGGAGGGGAGAUGGGCAGAGCAAGAACUGGAGGGCGGCAUGAGCAUGGGGCAGGAGUGACUGUGGGAGAACUUGGGGUAGGGUGAGGACAGGAGGGGAGGGUGCUCUGGGGGAGGGUGGGGCUUGGGAAAGAUUCUCAGCACUGUCAUAUGCUCCAGCACUCCCACUUUCCCACUGAAAGAUGAGAACUUGCUGAGGGCCCCAGGCAGCUGGGCAAGAGAUAGGAGCAGCACAAGGUCCCAAGGUGGAGAGGGGCGGAGGGACCAGGGAGGGAUGGUCCAGCACCUGUGGGCUGGAGGGUGGGGUCCUCAAGAGGGUGAGGCUGAGGAUGAAGGAGUGGGGAAGGGGCCACAAUGAGGCAGGGUCCAGAGCAGGCAUCUGCACUGGAGGGGAGGGGGCAUCUGCGCUGCCCUGCGCCCUGCCUAAGGCCCAACUGCCAUUAGCAUCAGGGUUCCCCUUGGGGGUCUGGAGGGGAGUGGGAUGGAGGGAAGACCCCCCCGGAUAAAAGGCAGCACCAGAAAGUUAGAGUCAGGGACAUUUGGGAACGGGGAGGCAUAGGGGCAGCACUGGGUGAAGGCUGCUUGUAGGAAAGGCCCAUAAGGGGUGCAGGAGGGACCUUCGGUGGCGGGGACAGGGGAUGAGGGCAGAGGACACCCUAGAAAUGGAUCAGAGAACAGCACACAGGAAGGGGUAGCAGGGAGCUGGGAGGGCAAAAGGACUCAGCGGGCCCUGAGAUGGGCAGGGAGGAGGUGAGAGGGAAUCUGGUGUCCUUAGAUCACUGGUCAUUAGUAGGGGUGGGAUGAGAGAGAGGAGAGGACCCUCGGAGCCAGAGGCGAGGGGAGAAUGAGCUGGGGAUGAGAGAAGUCGCAGGAAGAAUCCUCUGCCCGGAGCCUGCAGACUCCAACCCCUCAGCUUGAGAGUCAGGACCCCCCACAGUCCCCACAGCAGCAGGAAGCACCAGCUCCGGGUCCCGAGAAAGGAGGGCCCCUACUCCAGGAGCUGCGGCCCAGGAGCUGAGAACACGUCGGCUCCGGGAGAGGACAGGACUUCAGGGACCUGAGAGCCGCCCCGAGCACCGGGGGUUGUGGCUGCUUCAGUGGCCGCGCUGGAAGGGCACUCGAAUGCCAUUCACAGGAGCAGCCCCGGAGGCAGCCCGGGAACCCAUGGGCCUCAGAAGGACUGGUUUGUCCGAAAAGUGAGAGGAAGCGGAGGAGACGCGAGGAGAGAAAGAGCAGGAGGAGACCAGAAAGUGCAGGUGAUGCGCGAUCCCGAGGAGGACUGAAAAGUGACGGGGAAGCAGGGCUGAAGUGUGGCGGUAACGGGCCGCGUCCAGCUCCCUGCGCCACCGACAGGGCACAGGAGCCCCGCCCUGACCGCACAGCGCUCGCCGCUACCCACCCGACCCCCGGAAACGUCCCACUGCUCCCGCUCCGCCGAGGACCGCCAGGAACGCCACUCACCAGCAGCAGCUCCCGGAGGUGCAAAAGGGAAGAUGCCAGCCAGAAGCAGAAAGACCGGGCCCAGCCCCAUGGCCCCGACGUCGCCACCCUCUCAGCGGCUCAAGCAGUGGCCGGGGAGAAGGCGCCGCGGAAACUUAGUCACCUGGCCCGGUCCCCCGACCGCUCAUCCAAUGAAACUGGGGCCCGGAACUUAGGGCCAAUCACGAGCGGAGAGGGCGGGGCCACGCUUGGAAGAGAAAAUUCCAGUGGGCUGGAGACCUGGGGAGAUUUAGAAGGCGGGACCUGGGGCCCAGAAAAUGGGGAGCACGCGGGAGCGCAGCCUAAAGCAGGGACCAGCUUCGAGUAGCUGAGAGUACAGCUCCAACUUCAUAAGCACGGCCAGGGCCCUGCCUGCCCUCCCGGCAUCGCGACCACCCAUCCCCGCGCCCCCACCCCGAGGAGCGCGGGCCUCACCAAGCCCCUUUCGCCGGCCGCCCCAUUAAACCGGCUCUCACUGGCUUGUUCCUUCCAGGACAGACAACGCGUGGCUAUUCUCCCAACACACUCCCUCAACCGCGCACAGCGUUACUGGCAAUGAGACCAGUGACCAGAUUUGCAGACCUGUUUCCAGAUCUCAGCCACCUCUGCCUCUCAGAAGCACCUGCCGCAGUAGAACCGCUCAGACCACAAACUCUCUUAGACGUUUCAGCUUUAUAAUCUCCUUCUCCUCCCUUUGACUCAAAGCCAGGCCCCCCUUUCACCCCCUUAUAUCCUCUAAGUGUCUGAAGUCUCCCAGGGCCGCCUCUCUAUUCAGUCCCUGGGUGAUCACAGGGCCAAGGAGGCGGCUCCCUGUGGUUCACUACAACACCAAGCUCUCUCCAGACUCCCUUUUCCAGCCUGCCUUAGGACAUCUGUACCUCCGACCAUAGUCCCCUCCAAUGUGAGAGAUCUACAAAGACUCUCUAUACGUCUGCCACCAUAUCAUCCUCUCUUCCUCCUCAGUUUCUCUUAAGAACAUCACCAUCCUUGGUCCCUUCUGAUUUCCUCUUUCCCCAUCAUCUCCGGGAGUCAAAGUCAGCUCCUUCAACGCUAUUUCAAUCCCACAGCCACAAUCUUAGUCUAGGCUUUCCCCUCCCUUCAGCCUAGAUUACUGCACAGCCUUCCUAAACACGGUGCCUGCCUCAGUUACAACCAGAGUGCUCCAAGCCACCCACAGCGCCCCAUCUGCUGAAUGUCACACAUGAUGGAUGCUUCUACUCUACCGUGGAAAACCUCAGCUGCCACAAUCUGCUGUCUGGCACCACCCCCAUUUCUCUGGUGACAUCUCCCCAGGGUUGCAGUAAACGUGGGCUCUGGGAUCUCCUCACCCUAUCCCACCAGGAUGCCACUGCCUAAGCAGUCUCCCUCUUCCAGGCUAUUGUAACCUCUGCCUUGGAACCCAUCAGACCACACCAUAUCCUUAAAAUCUUCCCAGGCUGGUCUGAGUGCAGUGUUUACAACUAAUUGAUCACAACCAGUUAUAGAUGUCUUUGUUUCUUCUUCACUCCCACUGUUUCACUUGACUAGCCUUUAAAAUAAAAAGAAAAGAAAAAAGAAAAAAAGGAAAAAAAAUCUUCCAGGGUAGACAGUGGUGACGGUGGCACAACCUUGUGAUUACGCUAGAAGCCACUGAGCUGCACACUUUAAAAGGAUAAAUUGUGUGGCAUAUGAAUUCUCAAUUCUCAAUAAUAAGAAUGCUGUCCCGAAAGCCUCUUUCUACUAAGAGAAUUGCCUUGUCCCCAACGCACAUCUCUUAGUCGUUGGGACAUCUAGGCAGAGGUCAUCAAACCUAGCCACUGCGUAGAACCACCUGGAGAGUUUUUAAUAUCCAUGUUCCCAGGCCACAGCCACAACCUAGGUUGUUAAAUCAGUAAACCCAGGUUGGACCUAAAUCUUAGUAUCUUUUAAAGUUCCCUAGGUGAUUCCGAUGUGUAGUCAAGUUUUAGAACUACUGAUUUAGCCCGUGGUUUGAACCUUCCUGAUAGUACUCAUUGUGCCCUGCCAUGAAUUUUUUUUUUUUUUUUAAGAGAGGAGUCUUGCUGUGUCACUCAGUUGGAAUGCAGUGGCAUGAUUAUAGCUCACUGCAGCCUUGAAUGCCUGGGCUCAAGCAAUCCUCCCACCACAGCCUCUUGAGUAGCUGGGACUACAGGCGAGUGCCACCACACCCAGCUGUCAUCUACCAUCUUCUACCCUAUGAACCCUCCAAGAUCAGGAAAUGUGUCCGUUUCUUCUUUGUCAGCCUCACAAACUUUUUUUUUAAGUUCAACUAUCCCUGUCAUUACUAACUAUUCCCCCAUGAUCCCUAGCCUACACUUUUCUGUGGAUGAAAAUGUAAUGUAUUCGAGAAUUUUAACAAUUUCUUAGUUUUCCCAUUCACAUUCACUGAUAAUUUAUUUUGAUCCUCAUAAUUUAUUGAGCACAGCAGGGACCGGGGUCCUUUCCCCACCUUAGAGAGAUUAUUUUCACUGCUAAAGAUCAUAAGCCUAGUGAGAGACUGGGAGGGAGAUGGACCUAGCUCUCCUGACACAGGUCCCAAGCCCUUACCUCCACGGUGUCUACCCUCCCUCCAGGACUUCCUCCGUGUGCCAGCUCCAGCAAAGGAUCUGAUUCAGCUCGCCCCCAAAAAAGACUUUUAAUAGUUCAAUAACAAUAAUGAAUAUGCAAGGUUUGUUCUAAGGCAUUUAGAAAUGGUUUCAGGGAGUCAUGAAGCCAGUCCUCUCUUGGGCUAGGGGAGGCCGAGAUGGUCUUGAGCUCCAGGGGACUUGUUUCUUAGUGCCCAGGCCUGGGCGCCCCUCCCCCACCAAGCCUCCCAGGUCUUCUGUCCAAAGCCCUCCCCCUCCACCCCACCUCCAACCCCGUCUGCUCUACCCCAUCAACUACGUUUUCUCCCUCAGCACUUGCCUUAUACCCCAUGCACUCACGAGCACAGAGGCGACUUCCCUCUCUCAGACUUUAGGCGCCACUGCAG